UGGGGAAUAUUGCACAAUGGGGGAAACCCUGAUGCAGCGACGCCGCGUGAGUGAAGAAGUAUUUCGGUAUGUAAAGCUCUAUCAGCAGGGAAGAAAGGCCCGCAAGGGAGAUGACGGUACCUGACUAAGAAGCCCCGGCUAACUACGUGCCAGCAGCCGCGGUAAUACGUAGGGGGCAAGCGUUAUCCGGAUUUACUGGGUGUAAAGGGAGCGCAGACGGAACUGCAAGUCUGAUGUGAAAGCCCGGGGCUCAACCGCGGGACUGCAUUGGAAACUGUUUAGCUAGAGUGUCGGAGAGGUAAGUGGAAUUCCUAGUGUAGCGGUGAAAUGCGUAGAUAUUAGGAGGAACAUCAGUGGCGAAGGCGACUUACUGGACGAUAACUGACGCUGAGGCUCGAAAGCGUGGGGAGCAAACAGG
rnacentral:rRNA from 2 species